rnacentral:rRNA from 1 species
CUACGGGGCGCUCCAGUCGAGAAUCUUUCGCAAUGGGCGAAAGCCUGACGAAGCGACGCCGUGUGAACGAAGAAGGCCUUCGGGUUGUAAAGUUCUUUCGCUAGUGGGCAAGGGAGUAGGUUUAAUAAAUCUACAACUUGAGAGUAGCUGGUAAAGAAGCACCGGCUAACUCCGUGCCAGCAGCUGCGGUAAUACGGAGGGUGCAAGCAUAAUCGGAAUUAUUGGGCGUAAAGGGCGCGUAGGCGUCUUAUCAAGUCACUUGUGAAAUUUCAAGGCUCAACCUUGAAGCUGCGGGUGAAACUGACAAGAUGGAGUAUAGGUGGGGAAAACGGAAUUCCACAUGUAGCGGUGAAAUGCGUAGAUAUGUGGAGGAACACCGGUGGCGAAGGCGGUUUUCUAACCUAUUACUGACGCUGAGGCGCGAAAGCUAGGGGAGCAAACAGGAUUAGAUACCCCGGUAGUC